GUCCACAGCCAUGCUACCCUGAACAAGCCUGAUCCCGUCUGAUCUUGGAAGCUAAGCAGGGUCGGGCCUGGUUAGUACUUGGAUGGGAGACCACCUGGGAAGACCAGGUGGUGUGUAGG
rnacentral:rRNA from 1 species